CAUCGGAGGCUCCGGCGUCGGUCUUCACUGUUUUGCUCUUUGGUUUCCUCGUUUCUGUCGUGAGCUCAGUGCAGCGUUGUGUUCUUGCUUGUUUCGGUGUUGCAGGUUUAUAGUGUAGCGCUCGUUUGGCUCUGGCUAUGAACAUAUUGUGUUGCAAAGGGCUGCGACGUUCUGCUUCGUGAUCGGUUCAUUUGCCUAUAGACUGUCUGGAAGUUUGGUUUACUGGUUUUCUUGCUCAUUGUUGAAGGUGGGGUGUCUGGGUUCAUCAGGUUAUGUGCCUUUAU